rnacentral:rRNA from 1 species
UACGUAGGGGGCAAGCGUUGUCCGGAUUUAUUGGGCGUAAAGAGCGUGUAGGCGGCCAGAUAGGUCCGUUGUGAAAACUCGAGGCUCAACCUCGAGACGCCGAUGGAAACCAUCUGGCUAGAGUCCGGAAGAGGAGAGUGGAAUUCCUGGUGUAGCGGUGAAAUGCGCAGAUAUCAGGAAGAACACCCGUGGCUAAGGCGGCUCUCUAGUACGGUACUGACGCUGAGACGCGAAAGCGUGGGGAGCGAAACAGG